GGAGAAUAGCCCGUGAAUAUCUUCCACAGCUUUGAAUGCUUCCUGCCACAAUUCCAUGCUGAUAGCACUGUCCAGCUGAACAAGUCUGGUUUCCAAAUGCAUGGACUGGCUCUCUGGAUUAUUAAGAUUGAUUGCCGUACUUUGGUUAUGGUGGCGCUGAAUCUGCGAUAAGUGCAUUCUCAAAUUGUCACACAGUUUACGGAAUUCAGCCUUACGCGUGUAUUGGAGGCAGAA
rnacentral:lncRNA from 1 species